rnacentral:rRNA from 1 species
GCCUAAAGCGUCCGUAGCCGGCUUUGUAAGUUUUCGGUUAAAUCUAUAUGCUCAACAUAUAGGCUGCCGGGAAUACUGCAAAGCUAGGGAGUGGGAGAGGUAGACGGUACUCCGUAGGAAGGGGUAAAAUCCUUUGAUCUAUGGAUGACCACCUGUGGCGAAGGCGGUCUACCAGAACACGUCUGACGGUGAGGGAUGAAAGCUGGGGAAGCAAACCGGAUUAGAUACCCGGGUAGUCCCAGCUGUAAACUAUGCAAACUCAGUGAUGCAUUGGCUUGUGGCCAGUGCAGUGCCGCAGGGAAGCCGUUAAGUUUGCCGCCUGGGAAGUACGUACGCAAGUAUGAAACUUAAAGGAAUUGGCGGGGGAGCACCACAAGGGGUGAAGCCUGCGGUUCAAUUGGAGUCAACGCCAGAAAUCUUACCCGGAGAGACAGCAGGAUGAAGGUCAAGCUGAAGACUUUACCAGACAAGCUGAGAAGUGGUGCAUGGCCGUCGCCAGCUCGUGCCGUGAGGUGUCCUGUUAAGUCAGGUAACGAGCGAGAUCCUUGCCUCUAGUUGCUACCAUUACUCUCAGGAGUAGUGGAGCGAAUUAGCGGGACUGCCGUAGUUAAUACGGAGGAAGGAGAGGGCCACGGCAGGUCAGUAUGCCCCGAA